GGGAGGAGCAGCCAUCCCCUCGUCUCCAUCAGCUGUAGUCUGAUGCGGGCGUGAGGAAGGAAGGUGCUGUCGGCCGCGUCCUUACGUAAGGGGACAUUAUACAACUUGGGGAGCAACUCUACUCAUCUUCAACAGAGAGAAUGGAGGAGAGCACAGAGAGAUUGGUAGACGCUGCGUCGUCUGCUGCCGAGGAGAUGGCAGAGGAGCCGUUGGUGGGAAUGCUGGAUUUGGUAUUGCUUUCCCUUCUUGCGGGUGUGUCAGUAUACUAUUUCUUCCUCCGCGACACUAACAAAAAAGAUGAAGUCCCAGUUUGAAGAGCUUUACGAUAUCACCAACCUCAUUACCGAUGCGCACAAAUGACAGCAACUUCGUAGCCAAGAUGAAGUCGUCAGGAAGGAACGUUAUUGUUUUUUAUGGAUCACAGACGGGAACAGCAGAAGAAUUUGCAGGUCGUCUCGCGAAGGAUGCCACAA